rnacentral:misc_RNA from 1 species
AUGGCGAUGUAUAAGAAGAUUUACAAGGGGGAAUACCGGUGCCCUAAAUGGAUGUCGCCGGAUCUCAAGAGAUUUCUGUCGCGACUUCUCGAUACGAAUCCCGAAACGAGGAUAACCAUUGAAGAGAUUCUAAGUGAUCCAUGGUUCAGAAAGGGGGGAAAUACAGAGAUCAAUUUCUACGAUGAUUACGAGAUGAAAUCGGAAGAGAAGGACGAAUCAUCGUCGACGAAUUUGAACGCAUUCGACAUUAUAUCUUUCUCCUCAGGAUUGGAUCUCUCUGGUUUAUUCGACAAUUCACAUAACGCAGUGGACGACAGUGAGCGAUUCAUAUCGGCAGA